rnacentral:rRNA from 1 species
AUGAACGCUGGCGGCGUGCCUAAUACAUGCAAGUCGAACGAGUUCUGAUUAUUGAAAGGUGCUUGCAUCUUGAUUUUAAUUUUGAACGAGUGGCGGACGGGUGAGUAACACGUGGGUAACCUGCCCUUAAGUGGGGGAUAACAUUUGGAAACAGAUGCUAAUACCGCAUAAAUCCAAGAACCGCAUGGUUCUUGGCUGAAAGAUGGCGUAAGCUAUCGCUUUUGGAUGGACCCGCGGCGUAUUAGCUAGUUGGUGAGGUAACGGCUCACCAAGGCAAUGAUACGUAGCCGAACUGAGAGGUUGAUCGGCCACAUUGGGACUGAGACACGGCCCAAACUCCUACGGGAGGCAGCAGUAGGGAAUCUUCCACAAUGGACGCAAGUCUGAUGGAGCAACGCCGCGUGAGUGAAGAAGGCUUUCGGGUCGUAAAACUCUGUUGUUGGAGAAGAAUGGUCGGCAGAGUAACUGUUGUCGGCGUGACGGUAUCCAACCAGAAAGCCACGGCUAACUACGUGCCAGCAGCCGCGGUAAUACGUAGGUGGCAAGCGUUAUCCGGAUUUAUUGGGCGUAAAGCGAGCGCAGGCGGUUUUUUAAGUCUGAUGUGAAAGCCCUCGGCUUAACCGAGGAAGUGCAUCGGAAACUGGGAAACUUGAGUGCAGAAGAGGACAGUGGAACUCCAUGUGUAGCGGUGAAAUGCGUAGAUAUAUGGAAGAACACCAGUGGCGAAGGCGGCUGUCUGGUCUGUAACUGACGGUGAGGCUCGAAAGCAUGGGUAGCGAACAGGAUUAGAUACCCUGGUAGUCCAUGCCGUAAACGAUGAAUGCUAGGUGUUGGGAGGGUUUCCGCCCUUCAGUGCCGCAGCUAACGCAUUAAGCAUUCCGCCUGGGGAGUACGACCGCAAGGUUGAAACUCAAAGGAAUUGACGGGGGCCCGCACAAGCGGUGGAGCAUGUGGUUUAAUUCGAAGCAACGCGAAGAACCUUACCAGGUCUUGACAUCUUUUGAUCACCUGAGAGAUCAGGUUUCCCCUUCGGGGGCAAAAUGACAGGUGGUGCAUGGUUGUCGUCAGCUCGUGUCGUGAGAUGUUGGGUUAAGUCCCGCAACGAGCGCAACCCUUAUGACUAGUUGCCAGCAUUUAGUUGGGCACUCUAGUAAGACUGCCGGUGACAAACCGGAGGAAGGUGGGGAUGACGUCAAAUCAUCAUGCCCCUUAUGACCUGGGCUACACACGUGCUACAAUGGAUGGUACAACGAGUUGCGAGACCGCGAGGUCAAGCUAAUCUCUUAAAGCCAUUCUCAGUUCGGACUGUAGGCUGCAACUCGCCUACACGAAGUCGGAAUCGCUAGUAAUCGCGGAUCAGCACGCCGCGGUGAAUACGUUCCCGGGCCUUGUACACACCGCCCGUCACACCAUGAGAGUUUGUAACACCCGAAGCCGGUGGCGUAACCCUUUUAGGGAGCGAGCCGUCUAAGGUGGGACAAAUGAUUAGGGUGA